AUUGAACGCUGGCGGCAUGCUUUACACAUGCAAGUCGAACGGUAACAGGCCUUCGGGUGCUGACGAGUGGCGAACGGGUGAGUAAUGCAUCGGAACGUACCCAGAGGUGGGGGAUAACGCAGCGAAAGCUGUGCUAAUACCGCAUGUGAUCUGAGGAUGAAAGCGGGGGACCGAGCAGCAAUGUUUGGCCUCGCGCCGUUGGAGCGGCCGCUGUGGGAUUAGCUAGUUGGUGGGGUAAAUGCCUACCAAGGCGACGAUCCGUAGCUGGUCUGAGAGGACGACCAGCCACACUAGGACUGAGCCACGGCCCAGACUCCUACGGGAGGCAGCAGUGGGGAAUUUUGGACAAUGGGCGCAAGCCUGAUCCAGCAAUGCCGCGUGCGGGAAGACGGCCUUCGGGUUGUAAACCGCUUUUGGCAGGAACGAAACGGUGUCCGCUAAUACCGGGCGCUAAUGACGGUACCUGCAGAAUAAGCACCGGCUAACUACGUG
rnacentral:rRNA from 1 species